AUUGAACGCUGGCGGAAUGCUUUACACAUGCAAGUCGAACGGCAGCACGGGGCAACCUGGUGGCGAGUGGCGAACGGGUGAGUAAUACAUCGGAACGUGCCCAAUCGUGGGGGAUAACGUAGCGAAAGUUACGCUAAUACCGCAUACGAUCUACGGAUGAAAGCGGGGGAUCGCAAGACCUCGCGCGAAUGGAGCGGCCGAUGUCAGAUUAGGUAGUUGGUGGGGUAAAGGCUCACCAAGCCGACGAUCUGUAGCUGGUCUGAGAGGACGACCAGCCACACUGGGACUGAGACACGGCCCAGACUCCUACGGGAGGCAGCAGUGGGGAAUUUUGGACAAUGGGCGCAAGCCUGAUCCAGCCAUUCCGCGUGCAGGA
rnacentral:rRNA from 1 species